rnacentral:rRNA from 1 species
UACAGAGGUGGCAAGCGUUGUUCGGAAUUACUGGGCGUAAAGCGCGCGUAGGCGGUCUUGCAAGUCCUGUGUGAAAUCCCUCGGCUCAACUGAGGAACUGCACAGGAAACUGCUUGGCUUGAGUUCGGGAGAGGGAAGCGGAAUUCCGGGUGUAGCGGUGAAAUGCGUAGAUAUCCGGAGGAACACCGGUGGCGAAGGCAGCUCGCUGGGACGGUACUGACGCUGAGACGCGAGAGCGUGGGGAGCAAACAGG